AGGAGUGAACCGGUAGGAUGGAAACGGAUAAAGCCAACGAAUAAGCCCGUAUUCAGCUAGUCGGUUGCGUACAGCGUCCGCUGUGUGCCCGACAGUGCAGACGCGGAUGUGUGUCUAUGGUGUGCAAUCGGGUAGUGCAUUUACGGGUGAUGUGUGCUGAGGCGUGCGAUCCGCCUAAUUCUAGCAACACGAACCGUCGCGGAGAGGCCUCGUUUCGGCGUGGUACCUACGCGCGGAGAGUGUUGUCUUGGUUGCACGUAGAUUUUUGGGCUAGGUAGAGACGCACUAGCGUACUACGGUGCUGGCGCUCCGGUGAGUCGCAUGCGACGAUUCUGGGCGUUCGGUAUUGUUGGUACGUCGGUGACCUGGCCUGUCCUCGGUGUAAAAGUUGGUCAUUUCUCCGACCCGUCUUGAAACACGGACCAAGGAGUCUAGCGUGUACGCGAGUCAUUGGGUGUAAAAACCCAUAGGCGCAAUGAAAGUGAAGGUCCCCUUCAAGGGGACUGAUAUGCGAUCCGGUAUGCCGCGGUGUACCGGAGCAGCAUAGCCCCAUCUCGACUGCUUGCAGUGGGGUGGAGGAAAGCGUAUGCGCUGGUACCCGAAAGAUGGUGAACUAUGCCUGAGCAGGAUGAAGCCAGAGGAAACUCUGGUGGAGGUCCGAAGCGCUUCUGACGUGCAA
rnacentral:rRNA from 1 species